rnacentral:rRNA from 1 species
UUGACAUCCCGAUGCUAUUUCUAGAGAUGAAAGUUACUUCGGUACAUCGGUGACAGGUGGUGCAUGGUUGUCGUCAGCUCGUGUCGUGAGAUGUUGGGUUAAGUCCCGCAACGAGCGCAACCCCUAUUGUUAGUUGCCAUCAUUCAGUUGGGCACUCUAGCGAGACUGCCGGUAAUAAACCGGAGGAAGGUGGGGAUGACGUCAAAUCAUCAUACCCCUUAUGACCUGGGCUACACACGUGCUACAAUGGUUGGUACAACGAGUUGCGAGUCGGUGACGGCGAGCUAAUCUCUUAAAGCCAAUCUCAGUUCGGAUUGUAGGCUGCAACUCGCCUACAUGAAGUCGGAAUCGCUAGUAAUCGCGGAUCAGCACGCCGCGGUGAAUACGUUCCCGGGCCUU